CCUACGGGAGGCAGCAGUGAGGAAUAUUGGUCAAUGGACGAGAGUCUGAACCAGCCAAGUAGCGUGAAGGAUGACUGCCCUAUGGGUUGUAAACUUCUUUUAUAAAGGAAUAAAACGAGGCACGUGUGCCUUUUUGCAUGUACUUUAUGAAUAAGGAUCGGCUAACUCCGUGCCAGCAGCCGCGGUAAUACGGAGGAUCCGAGCGUUAUCCGGAUUUAUUGGGUUUAAAGGGAGCGUAGAUGGGUUGUUAAGUCAGUUGUGAAAGUCUGCGGCUCAACCGUAGAAUUGCAAUUGAUACUGGCAGUCUUGAGUACAGUAGAGGUAGGCGGAAUUCGUGGUGUAGCGGUGAAAUGCGUAGAUAUCACGAGGAACCCCGAUGGCGAAGACAGCUUACUAAACUGUGACUGACAUUGAGGCUCGAAAGUGUGGGUAGCAAACAGGAUUAGAUACCCGAGUAGUC
rnacentral:rRNA from 1 species